AUUGAACGCUAGCGGCAUGCCUUACACAUGCAAGUCGAACGGCAGCACGGGAGCAAUCCUGGUGGCGAGUGGCGAACGGGUGAGUAAUAUAUCGGAACGUGCCCAGUCGUGGGGGAUAACGCAGCGAAAGCUGUGCUAAUACCGCUUACGAUCUACGGAUGAAAGCGGGGGAUCGCAAGACCUCGCGCGAUUGGAGCGGCCGAUAUCAGAUUAGCUAGUUGGUGGGGUAAAGGCCCACCAAGGCGACGAUCUGUAGCUGGUCUGAGAGGACGACCAGCCAAACUGGAACUGAGACACGGUCCAGACUCCUACGGGAGGCAGCAGUGGGGAAUUUUGGACAAUGGGCGCAAGCCUGAUCCAGCAAUGCCGCGUGCAGGAUGAAGGCCUUCGAGUUGUAAACUGCUUUUGUACGGAACGAAACGGCCCUUUCUAAUACAGGGGGCUAAUGACGGUACCGUAAGAAUAAGCACCGGCUAACUACGUGCCAGCCGCCGCUGUAA
rnacentral:rRNA from 1 species